GCCUGGAUGGCUCAGUCAGGUAAGCAUCUGACUUCGGCUCAGGUCAUGAUCUUGCCACUCGUGGGUUCAAGCCCUGCAUCAGGCA
rnacentral:tRNA from 1 species